rfam:Apaloderma vittatum contig2876, whole genome shotgun sequence.
AUAGCUCAGUAGAGCGUAGCGCUAACAAUGCUAAGGUCACGGGUUUGAUUCCCGUU